CGGACCGGCGCACGGGUGAGUAACGCGUAUGCAACCUACCUAUCAGAGGGGAAUAACCCGGCGAAAGUCGGACUAAUACCGCAUAAAACAGGGGUUCCACAUGGAAAUAUUUGUUAAAGAAUUAUCGCUGAUAGAUGGGCAUGCGUUCCAUUAGAUAGUUGGUGAGGUAACGGCUCACCAAGUCCACGAUGGAUAGGGGUUCUGAGAGGAAGGUCCCCCACACUGGUACUGAGACACGGACCAGACUCCUACGGAAGGCAGCAG
rnacentral:rRNA from 1 species